AAACUAACUAGGAUGCCUCUAGUAACGGCGAGCGAAGCAGGCAUAGCUCAAAUUUGUAAUCUGGCACCUUUGGUGUCCGAGUUGUAAUUUCUAGAAGCGAGUUCGGCGACGGCCCCUGUUCAAGUCCGUUGGAAUGCGGCGUCAUGGAGGGUGAGAAUCCCGUGAAUGACAGGGUGUCUGCUGCCAUGUGAACCGCCUUCGAAGAGUCGAGUUGUUUGGGAUUGCAGCUCUAAAUGGGAGGUAAAUUUCUUCUAAAGCUAAAUAUUGGCCAAAGACCGAUAGCGAACAAGUAGAGUGAUCGAAAGAUGAAAAGAACUUUGAAAAGAGAGUUAAACAGUACGUGAAAUUGUUGAAAGGGAAGCGUUUGAGAUUAGACUUUCGGGCCGGGCUGUCCUUGCUUCUGCAAGGAUCACCAGUCCGGUCAUGAAGGCCAGCAUCAAUUUUGGGGGUUGGAUAAGGGUAUUGGAAAGGUAGCUUCCCUCGGGAAGUGUUAUAGUCCAGCACUAUACGGCCAUCUGGGAUUGAGGACCGCGGCUAUUAAGCCUAGGAUGCUGGCGUAAUGGUCUUAAACGAC
rnacentral:rRNA from 1 species